rnacentral:lncRNA from 11 species
UGAAGACCUACUGUGGAUAAAUGUUAAAUGAAAAAAAGGAACAUAGAGCAUACUGUGCUUUGUGAAUUCAAGAUCAACAUCUCCUGAUAGUCCAAUGCCGCAUAAGAUGUUCCACACAUGUCUUCCAGUAGUGGAAAGGCAUAGAAAAGCCCAAUAAUGACAACAGCAGCAACAAAAUACAAGAAACCGGCCUAUUUAACAUUAGUGUAAAAUCAAACACUUCAGACAAUUUCUUUUUGCUGAGAAACAACUCUGACUCAAUUUUAAACACAACAUAUUAGCUCUCCUAAUUCGCUGCAUGAUUAAAAUUACCUCUCC